rnacentral:lncRNA from 1 species
CCCUAUCGUUUUCUUUACCCCUUCCCUCUUUAUUGUCUUCUUCACACCCCUCCCCCUCAUAGCAGCUAAAAGUGCACUGUUGUUUUGUGAUAUGAUAUAAUGGAACUUCAAUUCAGAUGUGAUGCAAUAUUUGGCAUGUCAAGAUUGACCACAAUUACAUUUACUCUGUAUUGAAAUAAGAAUCCUUCAUUCAAUUAAUGUUGAGUUCUAUACGUUUCUUGGUUCCACUCCAUAAACUCUUUUUCUUAAACUACUAUUACAGCAUAUAAUACUAUUAAUGCCACAACAUUUAAUCUUUACCAAUUAUCAUCUCAAUAAUGAAGAGACUUUGUAUUAGAUAAUAGAGAGAGGUAUCCCAAGAUGUGGAAGAGUCAGCAAAAGGAAAAUGUCAAUAGACUCGUUUGAUUGGACAGAAACCAAUAUGACUAAUUACUUACUCAUCGGUCUGAAUCGAAAUCAGGAUUGAUUGAUGAUCUCACUGAUCUAUUUCUAUCAGCAUAUGAAUCAUCAUUCUCUUCUUCUUUCUUGUUCUCUUUGAUUAUUCCUUAAAGUCAGCCUCAUCUUCUUCCACUCCAUAAAGUCAUCGUCGUCUUUUUAUCUUCUUCCUCUCCGUUUUCUUGAUUCCACUAUAAGUCAGCCAAAAUGCAAAUCAAUUUUUCUUCUUUCAUCAAUUUCUAAAUUCCCUUCUCUAAUUCAGACCAAUUUUUUUUUUUUAAAAGUUCAUCUUCUUGCUAGAGAAGAGAAUGGAAGAGGGGGAGGGG